rnacentral:miRNA from 1 species
UCCUGUUAAUCUCUCCCCAGA